GAUCAUGGCUCAGGAUGAACGCUGGCGGCGCGCCUAACACAUGCAAGUCGAACGAUUAAAGCACCUUCGGGUGUGUAUAAAGUGGCGAACGGCUGAGUAACACGUGGGCAACCUGCCCCUCUCAUUGGGAUAGCCACGGGAAACCGUGGAUAAUACCGAAUACUUCGAGACUUCCGCAUGGAAGACUCGAGAAAGCUCCGGCGGAGAGGGAUGGGCCCGCGGCCUGUUAGCUUGUUGGUGGGGUAAUGG
rnacentral:rRNA from 1 species